GACGAACGCUGGCGGCGUGCUUAACACAUGCAAGUCGAACGGAAAGGCCCUGCUUUUGUGGGGUGCUCGAGUGGCGAACGGGUGAGUAACACGUGAGUAACCUGCCCUUGACUUUGGGAUAACUUCAGGAAACUGGGGCUAAUACUGGAUAGGAGCUCCUGCCGCAUGGUGGGGGGGGGAAAGUUUCGGCGGUUGGGGAUGGACUCGCGGCUUAUCAGCUUGUUGGUGGGGUAGUGGCUUACCAAGGCUUUGACGGGUAGCCGGCCUGAGAGGGUGACCGGCCACAUUGGGACUGAGAUACGGCCCAGACUCCUACGGGAGGCAGCAGUGGGGAAUAUUGCACAAUGGGCGGAAGCCUGAUGCAGCAACGCCGCGUGCGGGAUGACGGCCUUCGGGUUGUAAACCGCUUUCGCCUGUGACGAAGCGUGAGUGACGGUAAUGGGUAAAGAAGCACCGGCUAACUACGUG
rnacentral:rRNA from 1 species